UGCCAGCCGCCGCGGUAAUACGGAGGGUGCGAGCGUUGUUCGGAAUCACUGGGCGUAAAGGGCGCGCAGGCGGUCUUAUAAGUCAGAUGUGAAAGCCCACGGCUUAACUGGGAGAGGUCAUUCAAAACUGUUAGGCUAGAGGAUGGAGGAGGAGAGCGGAAUUCCCGGUGUAGUGGUGGAAUGCGUAGAGAUCGGGAGGAACACCAGUGGCGAAAGCGGCUCUCUGGUUCACACCUGACGCUGAGGGGCGAAAGCGUGGGGAGCGAACGGGAUUAGAUA
rnacentral:rRNA from 1 species